rnacentral:lncRNA from 1 species
AUGUCUGACUCUGGGGGUUGGUGCUCAUCUCCAUUUCUAAGCCCAAGAACCAGUGUUGUCCAUAGACACCUCCAAGGUCAUGUGGCCGGCAUGACUACAUGGAGUGCCAUUACCUUCCCAACAACACCCAGAAAAUGGGAAUUCCAGUUAGGAAACAAUCAGGGCCAGCUAAUACCGCCCAACAAAGGAUUCCCCCAGGUAGGAAGCAGCCAGGCUUUGAAGCUGCAAGGCUAUUCAAUGCUAAUCAAGGUGACCAAUUGCAACAUUCACACUUGCCUCCCACAGACAAGAGUUCUUUCUCCCACCCUGGACCUUCCACAGAUAUAUAAACCCCACUUGCCUAGCUUCGCACAGACGUCAAAACCUCUGAGUAUGUCUGCCACAGAUGUGGGUGAAACGUCAGGAGAGAAUGCUUCUGGCACAUGACCAUAGAGCCCGGAAUACAUACCACAACAGUGUGAUCCCGGCCAUGAAAGCUUUCGACAACACAACCACAGUAUCCAUUCAAGUUCAUGUAGCGUGGUAUGGAGACCUGUAUUGGGGGGAGGGAGGGUGCGAAUCUGGGCCCCUGGGAGUCGUAGUCCUCCCUCCCUCCCUCCCCGGGAGCAGCCGAGGACGGGCCUGGCCCACACCCCCUCGCAUCGCCUUCCCGCCUCACAGAGAGACACCAGGCCUGAGCUGAGGUGAGGCGGCGGCGGCCAUUUCCCCCCUCCGUCUUCCUCCUCCUCCUCGGCCUCCUUCCCCCUCGCCCCCUCCCAUUGGCUGAGCCCGUGACGCCCCUUUUGCUGAGGGGCAAAAGGAAAGGGCCUGAAUGGUGGGAGUUUGGGUGAUUUGCAAAAGCUUUUUUUUCCUAACGAAAAAAACGACGAAAUAAGAAAAAACGGCCUCUCGCGAUUCGAAACCACGAUAUCCAGACGUGUGGACAAUCAAGGCCGUAUAUUGCUUCAAAACAAACGAAAAUAACGAAUUAAUAACGGGUAACGGGGAAAUCGAAUUAUUUGAGCAAGCCUAGUAAGCAUAUAUAAUGCUCUUUCCUAAUGUCUCAGUUGACAUUUAAGUGUUCACAAAUCAUGCAUUUCUAAUAAUCUUGCCAAAAUGUCAGUAUGUUUUCUAAUGGGGUGCUUUUGGAGAGUAACCUCUCCCAGCAUUGUAUGUGGGCUCUUGGCACCUGAUAAAGUAUCUAACCUCAAGUCAUUGAAGAGGCAAAGAUAACGUUCCACAUAUCUCUUGAGGAGACAGCUCUUCUGUUUUGUUGCUACUAAAGUUUUACUUCUCCCCCCCUUUUU